UACGGAGGGGGCUAGCGUUGUUCGGAAUUACUGGGCGUAAAGGGCUCGUAGGCGGCUUUGUAAGUUAGAGGUGAAAGCCCGGGGCUCAACUCCGGAAUUGCCUUUAAGACUGCAUCGCUAGAACGUCGGAGAGGUAAGUGGAAUUCCGAGUGUAGAGGUGAAAUUCGUAGAUAUUCGGAAGAACACCAGUGGCGAAGGCGACAUACUGGACGACCGUUGACGCUGAAGGGCGAAAGCGUGGGGAGCAAACAGG
rnacentral:rRNA from 1 species